UUGGGUCUUCCCCACAAGAUUGAUGUGCUGGGUCCUUGGCAGUGGCUAGGUAUUUCAAUUAAUGUAGACUGCAGCUGGAAAGAAAAGAUGAUUCAAGACUGCUCUCGUACCAUGGCAACUUCAUUUGGACACCUCUGGGUACCUCGCUGAAUUCCCACUUGUUAAUGUGCUGAAACUUUUUGUCACACUCAAUUUUUAUGGAAAUCUUACAGGAUGCAUCCAGACAGCAAGAGAAGAGCGAAGUGCCCCAAAGAAAGCAGAAGAAAGGGAAGAGUUUAGCGAGGUCUCUUUUUUUUUUUUCUUUUGGAUGAUGAAAUGAAUCUUUAAUUGGCAGCGAGCUCCCUGGGACCACUGUUCUCCAGUCUCAUGUGUCCCUUGGGAUGCGGACACCUUCGAAGCCAUUGCUUGCAUGUUUUAGUUGUCUGUGCUGCUGGCAGCCAGCCUGCUGCAAGCUCCCUGGGGGAGAUCCUGGUGCACCCCUUGGCAGUGGGAGCAAAAAACUAUUCUUACUUCAAAAGAAGCUGCUGAACUGGGUUCGCUUUAUUUCAUCCGAACAGCUAACUUAAGUUUUGUAUGUUCUCUCUAUUAAUUGAUGCAUCUUAUCAAGCAAAUCCCUUGGAAGAGGACGGAGGUGAAAUCUUUCACAGCUUUCUCCAUGGUGGUGUGCUUCUCUUGGAAGUGGAGGCUGCUGAGAUGUCAGAAGUUGAAAGGGAGAUGGAUGCAGAUGGUCCUUCCUUGUAGCAUCAGAGGAAUCAAAAAGAAUUUAUAAGGAUGUUCAUCCCUUUUAAUAAGCUGCUGCUUCUGAGAAAGCAUCAGUUCUCCAUGAAAGACGACUUUGCUAUAUAAGAAAAGACUCCAUAACUCAUCUACAUGGAUGUGGAUGUUUUUUUCCUUGAAGUGCUCUGCCCCUCCAACUCAUCUCCAGGCUCUCCUGUCCCUGUGUCCUGGCUGAGCAGAAGGCUGUGGGGCUGUACAGGCACGUUUUGGGUGUCUGUGCCUAGCAAUCACCCAUCCCGGGCUGUGACCUGUGGUUGGGCCUGCUUCCCAUGGCAUGUGCCACGUGCGUUUUCACUUCCCUUGUUGUAGGGCCUACCCCAGUCCCUUUCCCUGGUUGCAGUACAGAAUUCAGGUAGGAAUAAAAUACAGUGGCCUGGAGCCUCCCGAGCCAGGUUUAGCUCCUGAGUUGCAUUUUGGCCACCAGUGCUUUGUUCUGAAGUAUGGAGGUGUGGAUGUAAAUGUGUGUGUGUGUGUGUGCACGUGCAGUCCCUUAUGAAGAAUUUUAAUUUCUUGCAAGAGUGGGUGCUUCAAGGUACUGAGCUGAGAAGGCAGGGGCUCUAUUUAUAGCUGGUGUUUGAGCCUUUGUGGGUUUUGUGAGUAUGUGAGAGAUGUACAGCUGUGCCACGCGGGCUCUGCUGAGCUGAAAACUCUUCACGGCAGUAAGAACAGGGGAUGGUUUUGGUUAUUUAACUGCUCAGUUGGAAUAAAGCAGCUGAUGUCUACUGAGAUGCUGCAGGCUCCGGUCUGCUCUGUGCAUGUCUGUCCCUGCGAGGUAUCUCAGGUGAGUCUACUGAGAGCAGCACUUCAAGAAACCUGAAGAAGAGGAGAAACAUCGAGGUGGACAGGUCUCCAACACCAUCUGUGCUCACACCUCCCUCAUGCCACAGUCACGCAGAGGUGAACAAUGCCGAGGAAUAUUUAUUUCCUAGAGGGGAAACAGUCCGAGCAGAAAACCCAGGCUACUCUGACUAUUCCUUCCUGGUAAGAGAUGACUAAGCCACAAGUCAAUGAUGAACAAGACCAGCGGAUCAUUAUGUAAAGACUGCCCCCGUAAUCUUGCCAAGCCCCAAAUGAAUAUGCAGUGAGCUCAGUGCUGCAGGUACAUGGUCCUGCAUGGUCCAUGGCCAGGAGUAGCUUCUUGCAACUCGAGGACCUCUGAGCUCAUGAGAGUGAGCCAGGACGUAGAACACUGCUGGAAAUGACAUUUGAUGUCUAUGCAUUGUCACAGUGUAUAAUGGCAUCCUGUGACAUAUGUCAACCCUAUGUGACAAGCAGCAUGAGGAAUAGAUUUGAAAUAUAGAGGAAAUAAAUGCAAGAAUCAAUGGCUUCUGCUGGCUUCAGUGAACUGUGCAGGCCUCUAUGCUUGGCAAUUUCAUGUUUUAUGUAAAAAGAAACUCUUCUGGAAUGCAUUAAGGAGUCUGUGCACAAAACCACUUAGAUUUCUCUUGCACUGCGGUUCUGACUGAUGUAGCCAAGACUAAGCUUCACCCUCUGAAUAAUGUAUUAAUUUCUCUGCAAGGAGUAGAAGUCUAGAGACUGAUUUCUGUAAGUAUUGUGCUUCUAGUUACCAUCAACAGAAACAUUUAAUUCCAGCUGAAUAUCAGAAGGCAGCCUCAGAUGUCUGUGUGCAAUACACCACGAUUUACCCAGUGGAAGGGGCGCACCCGCCUAAAAGCAGACUGGAGCGGAGGUUGUCCUGACUGGAACAGAUGGUUUCUGCCUGCUAUUGCUUGGAUAUCUCACUGGUUCAGAGUCGUACGCCGCUCAGACUGGGAAAACACCACGAGCAACCAAUAGUAGGGAAGCAUUUUGUUGAUAGCAGAAUCUGUUUUUCACUACUGACUUGCUUUAAAUUCAAUGAAAACGUUACUUAAAUGGAGCUAAAUAGCACAGCCAAGGGGGAACAAUUAAAAACAAUAUUUAAAAAGUUUUACUUAAGCCUAUUUGAUGAUUUUUCUCCUGUUCUGAUAGCUGAAGAGACCCAGCCUGCUCAGAAUGACAUAUUGGCCUUGCUUUGUGGACAGGUAACUCCAGGUCCCUGAUGUUCUCAGGACGUGUGGUCAGCCCCUGGGAAGCCUCUUGCAGAGGAGCCCCAGAUUCCUGAGCCGGAAUAAAUUCUAGCAGGAGUCCGUAUUAGAAAAACAGGGUUUCGGGCAAGAGUUAAAUGCUUUGUCUCUUGGAUCAAACGUACUUUUGAUAAAUCCUCAAAAAUGGAAAAUGAGAGGCGCUGGGCAAAUUAACAAAUGACACUGCUGGCUAUAGUUUUAGCAAUGUCACUGUUUUGACAGAUUCAUUUUCUUUCACCCACUAUGAUUGAUAAGUGUAUCUGUCUGGGAUUAGAGAAAGUUGCUAGGAAGGGAGUGCUUGAAGGUCAAAUUGCUCUAAGGAGACAUUAUAUUUUCCUGCCAGUUUCUUUGGUAGGGUCAAGGCUUUUUUUCCUUCCUUCUAUAAAAUGUAGAAAGCAAUUAAGUUUGAUUCAUGCCACGAGCUGCUACUUUUGGUUUUGGUUGCCUCUAACCAUUCUAGCAGGAGAGAAAAACAAACCAACCCUGUCACUUGAUCUGUAAUACUGAAAAAGAGCUUCCAACACAGCGGGUAACUCCUUACUGCUCCAGAAGAGAUGUUUUGUGAGUCUUAAUCUUGAAGUUACAUUGAAAAACAUAUCAGUGCUGUGUAGUGCCAUCCAGGUUAAUGACCGCAAAUUUCAUCAGCGGGAUGCACAUGUGAGAAAGCUAUUAAAAUAUUGCUUAAAGAGGACAAAGUACCUGUAUGUCACCUGCAUUUGGGUGUAGGGGGAAGCCAUUCAUUGUUUUGCUGACCGAACAAGACCCCAGGAAGAUAUAGUUAUCGAUGCUGGUGGCUUGACCACUACUGUGGUUUGCAUGUGUGCGCGCAAAAUAAAGGAUUACAAGCAAAAGAGCAGGCCAAAACUCUGUAAGAGACAGCUAUAAUGCUGUUUCUCUUCUGUCCAAUGUAGGAAAUGCAUUUCAUGCAAAGGGCCAGCAGAAGGCUGUUCUUAGGCACUUUGAUGUUUGGGUGGAUGAUUAGAGCCAGUUGUCCUAGCUAGAGCUGGAUGAUGUGAAAUGGUCCGUGACCAUCGCCUUGGAAGCCAAGAGGGAUGAUUGUGAAGAGGUAGCCAGUGAUUUUCUCAUGGGAGAUCAGUAAAAAGAUCCGAAUCUGGUGGUGGUGGUGGUGUUUGUUUCAGAAAGAAAUAGGGAUUUGUUCUCAGGAAUCAGGAAUGCCUGACGCAAGUCGGGGACAGCUGGGAACACCUAAUGUUCAGGCUUUACAUUUUUGGUUAAUUGCUUUCUUUCUUUUGUUCAUGGUUCAUGCUUUUACUUUUUACUUCUUUCUUUUUUUAUUUUACCUCCUCCCAUUUAUUAUUGUUCCUUUUCGUCUCUUAAAUAAUAGUGCCCAAUUCUUUCCAUAUAGUCCUUCCUUUUCCUUUCUCCUGCUCUUCCUACCUUACGCUUGUUUCUGCCUAAAGCACCUGGGUAGCUUCAGCUGUUUAUUUCUACAGCCUGAUGGUUUGAGUGCUGUAACCACAAGUUGCUUCCCCUGCAUUAACAUUGCCAGACUGAGCCCAGAGCAGAUUUUGGGACAGUCGAGACCAGGAGCAGGCUGCUAACGGCUGGAUUACUAAAUGAGCUAGGAUUACCAAGCUGCAUUUAGUGGAUGCAGCCAUUGAAAAAUGGCAAAUAGCAAGAAAGCCUUCAAUUAAGAACUGUUAAGCAGAAUGACCCCUCAGCAGUGCAAUCUUUGUAUUAAUGGGAAAGAGAAAUUUUAAGUACCUGAGGCUACGCAAGGAUUGGUAUCAAGCCACCCUCAGUGUUCAUGGUACUGUGCCCAAUGGCAUCUGAAAAACGUAGAACAAAGCAUCAUUUUAUCAGUUUACUUUGAAGCUAUUUUUUGAGUCCAAUUCUGUUUGAAGUGGGAACUCGCUAGCUGAAGUCAUUAGUGCCCAAAAGCUGUGGGCUGCUUGAAAUGACUUUGAAGAGCUUGGUUCAGCCCAGUUCAGCUGCCAGCAGAGUGGAGACAUCAAAGACAACCUAAAAUGAUGCAUCUGAGACUUCCCACCAAACUGCUAGGGACUGGGUUAAAUUGGUGUUGAUGGGAACCAUUUUUCCUUCUCUAGUUAACUCCUGUUAAUGCAGGGAGUGACUCACGGACUCCUGAAGCAAGCUCCUCAGUGAGGUCCAUGCAACCCUCUGAAAUAGUUUAGUGCCUUAAUAUAUACAGAAGCAGGAGAUACGGGUUCGGCUCUUUUCCCUAAUUAACCUACUUGAGGAUCGGGCUAUGCUGGAGGCAUGAAGGAGGGAUGCUGGCAUUACCUCCUGUAGGAACACUUCUACUUCGUUUGAAAGAAGAAAAUAUUCUUUUCUGAGGCUGAAGUUUUGAGAAUGACC